GUACACGUUUAGUCAGCAAGAACAAUGGAGCUGCCGUGGUGUCGGGGAAGUUUGCUCGUCUCGCACAGUGGAGGCCCGGGUUCGUUUUCCACCCAGAACAAAAUGUGCCAAGCCUUCUUCACAAAGCUAUUCAUUUAAUUCAUUUACAGGAACCUCCCUGCGAAUCUUGACGUACCAGAGACAAAGCGAACACGCCUAACGAUGUCUGCUUGCAAGGUUGUGGCUUUCGCCUUCCUAAUUGUUUUAGUCUUCCACACAAACAACAUCAUCGCUCGACCAGAGAAACCCGGCAGUCAUGGUGAAAUGAUGUAUUGUGGCGGCAAGUGCUUUAUUAAGAGAGAUCUCUCCUCGACUCCCUGCCCAGAUGGCUGCCGUUGCGUCAGCCUCCAAUUUAAGCACGGGGAAUUGACUGGAGAAGGAAAUUGCUUUCGAGAAAUUUGGAGCAAUCAGACAAAAUAAACCAGCUUCAACGGCUUUAAAACAAGGCCCUCCUUUCCACCAAGAAAGGAAAGUAAAAUUAAGUGCCGGAAGACGCCUCUGCAGCACGAACAUCCCGACGCACACGAACACACGCACGCCGGGACAUACAUGCUCGCCCGCUUAAGCACACAAAAGCAAAAGAAAAAAAAUAUAUGUUUCACUUAGACGCGCUAGAUCUUUAAGGAAUUUCACCCUGCACAGUUCUCCACAACGGAAAAGCAUUCGUUUAAGGAUGACGAGAGUCACGCACGCAAAUGCGAAGAAAGUCGAGGGAGUGCUCAACGCAGCGUGAGUUCUUAAAAAUGUGCGCAGAACUCGACCUUAGCUCAAACCAAAAUAAGUAUUUUGGGGAACGAGCCUACUGCUAGACAAUAAAGUCUUCGAAUCACAG